CGGGGAGGUAGUGACGAAAAAUAACGAUACGGGACUCAUCCGAGGCCCCGUAAUCGGAAUGAGUACACUUUAAAUCCUUUAACGAGGACCAAUUGGAGGGCAAGUCUGGUGCCAGCAGCCGCGGUAAUUCCAGCUCCAAUAGCGUAUAUUAAAGUUGUUGCGGUUAAAAAGCUCGUAGUUGAAUCUGUGUGUCACAGUGUCGGUUCACCGCUCGCGGUGCCUAACUGGCAUUAUGUGGUACGUCCUACCGGUGGGCUUAGCUCCUCGCGGGCGGUCCAACUAAUCUCCCAUCGCGGUGCUCUUCACUGAGUGUCGAGGUGGGCCGGUACGUUUACUUUGAACAAAUUAGAGUGCUCAAAGCAGGCUACCUUCGCCUGAAUACUGCGUGCAUGGAAUAAUGGAAUAGGACCUCGGUUCUAUUUUGUUGGUUUUCGGAACCCCGAGGUAAUGAUUAAUAGGGACAGAUGGGGGCAUUCGUAUUGCGACGUUAGAGGUGAAAUUCUUGGAUCGUCGCAAGACGGACUAAAGCGAAAGCAUUUGCCAAAAAUGUUUUCAUUAAUCAAGAACGAAAGUUAGAGGUUCGAAGGCGAUCAGAUACCGCCCUAGUUCUAACCAUAAACGAUGCCAGCUAGCGAUCCGCCGAAGUUCCUCCGAUGACUCGGCGGGCAGCUUCCGGGAAACCAAAGCUUUUGGGUUCCGGGGGAAGUAUGGUUGCAAAGCUGAAACUUAAAGGAAUUGACGGAAGGGCACCACCAGGAGUGGAGCCUGCGGCUUAAUUUGACUC
rnacentral:rRNA from 2 species